rnacentral:rRNA from 1 species
UCAUAUGCUUGUCUCAAAGAUUAAUCCAUGCAUGUAUGAGUAUGAGAGUUAUACUCGAAGCUGCGGACGGCUCAUUACAACAGUUAUAGUUCACAUGUGAUAGGGUAUAUGGAUAACCGUAGAAACCUAGGGCUAAUACAUGCUACUGGCGCAGUGCGCUGGAUUUAUUAGCUAACCACCCAGCGGAGCAAUCCGAUGAGGAAUCAAAAUAACUGAGCGGACUUCACAGAAGUGACACAUUCAAGUUUCUGCCCCAACAGCUUUCGAUGGU